ACCUUUCCGGUUGCAGCUUGAGUAAUCAGGCUGAUGGCUGGUGACUUUUUAGUCACCAGCCU
rnacentral:sRNA from 1 species